AGAAAUCAACGCUGGCGGCGUGCCUAACACAUGCAAGUCGCACGAGAAAGGGCUUCGGCCCUGAGUAAGUGGCGCACGGGUGAGUAACACGUGAAUGAUCUACCUCCGAGUGGGAAUAACCAAAGAAAUUUGGCUAAUACCACAUAACACUUACGAGUCAAAGCAGCAAUGCGCUUGGAGAGGAGUUCGCGGCAGAUUAGCUAGUUGGCGGGUAAUGGCCCACCAAGGCGAUGAUCUGUA
rnacentral:rRNA from 1 species